CACUGACAGCAACGAGCCAGGGAGUGCCCAGGGGCACUGAGCAGCCACCAAAGGGAACAGAGGGCACACAGGGGCAGGGCACUCACAGGAGGGGAUAAAAGGCUGGGACAAAGAGCAAGAAGGGCAGAGCUUGCAGCCUUAUCAAGGUUUGGUGUUACUCUGUAUGGGCAGAGCCUGAAGCCUUCUGAUGAGGAUGUACUGAUUUGCAUUACAAGGCUGGGAAGAAAACAUGCACUUCAUCUGCUUUGACAGUUGGCCUUCUGAAUUACACUUAUCAGCUGUAUUAGCCCAGCAGCCUUUGGCAGAGGAGGAGCAGGGGAUAAUGAAGAGGAAGGAGGCUGCACAUCUGAAUUCCUGCCCUCACAGAGGACCCUCACCCUUGUUGCUGUUUGGUGCUAAUUGUGUUUCUGGCUUUCCCAUGGCCUGUUUGAUUGGUAUUCCCUGCUGGAUGACCUCUGUAAUGAACAGCCAGCGCUUGUGGCAAAUAUUUCCAGCCUUUUACUUAUUAUGAUUAGAGUUUGUGUGCCGCCCAAUUAUCUGCAUAUUGUAAUGGAUGGCUCCUACAAACAGUGUCCUUCACAGGUUUAACAGCCCACACAAAGAAGAUUGCAAAAGCUGAAUCCAUCUUGACCCCAGUUCCCCAAAACAACCAAAGAUUUCUGCAGAA